AGAGCGAACGCUGGCGGCAGGCCUAAUACAUGCAAGUCGAACGGACCCUUCGGGGUUAGUGGCGGACGGGUGAGUAACACGUGGGAACGUGCCCUUUGGUUCGGAACAACUCAGGGAAACUUGAGCUAAUACCGAAUGUGCCCCCAUCCUUAAACAAGAUGGGUGGGAAAGAUUUAUCGCCAUUGGAGCGGCCCGCGUCUGAUUAGCUAGUUGGUGAGGUAAAGGCUCACCAAGGCGACGAUCAGUAGCUGGUCUGAGAGGAUGAUCAGCCACACUGGGACUGAGACACGGCCCAGACUCCUACGGGAGGCAGCAGUAGGGAAUCUUGCGCAAUGGGCGAAAGCCUGACGCAGCCAUGCCGCGUGAAUGAUGAAGGUCUUAGGAUUGUAAAAUUCUUUCAGGUCGGGACGAUAAUGACGGUACCGCAGAAGAACGCCCGGCUAACUUCGUGCCAGCAGCCGC
rnacentral:rRNA from 1 species